ACUUGUUUUUAUGUUUCUCAUGGUUAGCCUUGCUAGGUCUGGACUGUACAUGAAGCUAGGUAGCUAACUAGCAAAAUGGCUAACGUUACCGUUUUGAGAGUAUGUGAGAGCUCUACAAGUUUGGAUCGGUUAUUUAACGUUGUGUUAAGACUGCAUCAACCCUUUCAUUCUCCUGCUGUUGUUAUCCCUGGGUAAUGGAAAGUGCGAACCGCAGAGGGGAGAAAGCAACACUUCAGUUCAUCGGACCUGAAGGUCAAGGUGCUCUGUGAAUGGCUCCUCCACACUCCUUUCAGCGUGAAGCUCGCGAAGCCAGGACGGGCGCCCAUGGCCACGGUGUUCCUGUGCCUUUCUCCCCCCCCCCCCCUUUCUUUUGUUUUUGGCGGCCUCUCUUGUCUGUUCACAUCCCGUCAAAUGAGGUUGUGAUUCUCUGAGCUACUUGGGCUCUUUGAAGAAAACGGCAUUCAUCCGUCUUUGUGCCUCUGUGGCAGGUCCACGUGUCGUCUGAAGAUGAGCAUUUUUGGAGGACCUUGGAGCCGGCCUGAAAGGAGGCUUGAAAGGGCGAGAAGAUGAAAGCUUUUUUUUUUCACCCCCACCCCCCUCCCCCCCUCCCACUCCACCUCUCCUCAGGAAUCUGACAUUACCUCAAGAGCCCAACAGCGAUAAAAUAAAACCUGGCCUCAUACAAAACAAUACUUAAUCAGGUUGCCACAUUCCAUUUGUUCGUUCGUUCGUUCGUUCAUUCGUUCAUUUUCAUGCAGCGCGUGUGCUUAAAAUAAAAAUCCACAGCAUGCCA